rnacentral:tRNA from 1 species
ACCUGUUUAGCUUAAUAUUAAAGCAUUUUAUUGAAGAUAAAAACACCUCUCCAUCAUGAA